GCCCUAGUAGCUUAAUUUUAAAGCACCGCUCUUGUAAUCCGGAGAUCGGAGGUUAAAUCCCUCCCUAGUCCC
rnacentral:tRNA from 1 species